GAGCAGGGAGUGAUCCGGGAAUUCACAUGAAGUACAUAGAAAAAAAAAAGUGAACUUUGAUAUUCAAAUAAGGGAAGUAACAUAUGACCUGCAUCUAAAUAGGUGUUGUAAAACUUGAACAUUCCAUAGUGAGUACUACUUGGAUCUACUUUAUGGCUAAAAAAACUUUCNAAAACUUGAACCUUUCAUAGUGAGUACUACUUGGAUCUACUUUAUGGCUAGUGAACUUGAGUCUUGAACUAACCACCUGUUAUAGUAGAAUAAAAAACAAGAAGUAUCACGCAUUUCAUAUCUAAGAAUAUAUCAUUUCUUACCGUUGUGUUCAUUUCGACCGUGAACAUUCCUUUCUUCAUGAGACUUUUAGAGAGCUUAGCCAUAUCAGUACCAAAGAUGCAACCUCACAUCCAUCUCACAUAGGUAAUGCUAAUCUGGAACAAUGUGUACUAUUCCAAUAUAAAAUCUAUCAGCAUUAUUAAGAAUAAAGAAUUCAUCCCUGUAUCAUCAAUGGUAAAAC
rnacentral:lncRNA from 1 species